rnacentral:rRNA from 1 species
AUUGAACGCUGGCGGCAGGCCUAACACAUGCAAGUCGGGCGGAUGAAGGGAGCUUGCUCCUGGAUUCAGCGGCGGACGGGUGAGUAAUGCCUAGGAAUCUGCCUGGUAGUGGGGGAUAACGUCCGGAAACGGGCGCUAAUACCGCAUACGUCCUGAGGGAGAAAGUGGGGGAUCUUCGGACCUCACGCUAUCAGAUGAGCCUAGGUCGGAUUAGCUAGUUGGUGGGGUAAAGGCCUACCAAGGCGACGAUCCGUAACUGGUCUGAGAGGAUGAUCAGUCACACUGGAACUGAGACACGGUCCAGACUCCUACGGGAGGCAGCAGUGGGGAAUAUUGGACAAUGGGCGAAAGCCUGAUCCAGCCAUGCCGCGUGCGUGAAGAAGGUCUUCGGAUUGUAAAGCACUUUAAGUUGGGAGGAAGGGCAGUAAGUUAAUACCUUGCUGUUUUGACGUUACCAACAGAAUAAGCACCGGCUAACUUCGUG